rnacentral:rRNA from 1 species
AACUUUCAAUAACGGAUCUCUUGGUUCUGGCAUCGAUGAAGAACGCAGCGAAAUGCGAUAAGUAAUGUGAAUUGCAGAAUUCAGUGAAUCAUCGAAUCUUUGAACGCACAUUGCGCCCCUUGGUAUUCCGAGGGGCAUGCCUGUUCGAGCGUCAUUA